UCAUUAGCCUCCAGCAUCCAUUCUCUCCUCCACUACCUCCAGCCUUUUGAAGUCUCCAUUCUCUCUACCACUACUUCUCUAUCCGUCGUCUGAACACAUAAGCCAUAAUUAUGCGAUCUCCCUUAUUAGUCUAAGCCCUAAUCUUAUGUUUCUAGAUAUUAUGCUCCCUCUAGUUUUUAUGGGGUCUUCAUCGAUUUCUCCUAAGAAGGUUAUCCCUGAUAUUCAUGUGCUUGUUGAGUUGGUGGAAAGGCAAGGAGAUGUCAUAUCAACUGCUAGUGUCAGGGCUGUUGUGAAAAGCUUAAGACUUUUGUUGGAGUUCGGUGAUUUUGAGGAUUUGGUGCCUGUUAAACGAGUAUUUUAGAUUCUUCUACGUUUCUCCCUCGACAUAAAGCCAAAGGUAAUUUAUUUUAUGGAUUUGUUGUAUUCAAUUGGCUAGCGUCAUAAGAAAUCAGAGCAAUGGACUCUGUACUUAUCCCCAUCCAACACUUUGAUGGACUCUUAUAUUAAUAUUUGAAUUGUCCUUCCACAAGAAUAUUGUGUACAAAAUCCUAAGAUAUCUUAAAAGCUUACUCAAAUGAACUCUUAUUUAAGCAAAACAGUGUCGUAUCUAUUCAAGUUUAUUUUGACCCAAGUUGGACCAACCAUAUAAUCAAUAUACAAUGCACUUAUUUACUCUCUAUUGUUCAUUUUUAUGAGAACUUAGUCACUUGGAGAAGUAAAAAGCAAUAGGUAAGAUAUUCUUGCAUUCAAAAUUUGUUAAGUCGAGUACAACUCAAUGAUUUUGGUAUCAAUCUAUGUUGUUUCGGUAAACAUUGUUGAAGUUGAGUACACAACUAUCAUUCUAGGAAUUUGGAUAAGGCUUAAUAUUCAAUGAAUAUGAUAUCUUAACGUACAACCUAUUCAAUUUUUGUAAUAAUUCAUUCUGCUGUUAGCAUCACCAAGAACUUAAUUCAUCAAGUAAAUUGAAAAUACAAAUAUUUUAAUUGUGAAAUGGUCAUAAAAGUUAAAUUGAACAUUCAUACAUAACCACUGUAUUCAAGUUGCAGACACCUAAGGUUCUUCUUAGUUAUGAAAAAAUUGUGCAGCGAGUUGGUUAUUCAAAAUUUGUAUUGUCUAAUUGAUUUCCUCUCACAUUAUGAUAUCAUAUCAUUUCUCCAUGUUUAGUAUCCAUAUAUCUGAAGUAUUUUAUCUUGUAUUGAUGUAGUUAUCUUUAGAACUAUCCUGUAUCACCAAAUACAUUAUUCUUUUGUUGGUUUGAUUAAUUGAACAUACAGUUUUGAGCUCACAUAAUAUUGAGUUAAAACAUACAAUCGGGGUUCAAUUAGAGAGUAGGAAAAUCUCUUAUACACAGUAAAUUUUUAGGUUUGGACAUAUGUUAUUGAAAGAUCUAUUGUCAACUCAUUUGGGAUGACUCAUUGUAUUAGUAGAAUGAGAUAUUAUUAAGUUUAGAUGAAAUACAUAAUUACAUAAUUGUACCCAUCGGACUAACUUUUCACGAGUUUACACACUUUUGCUCUAUAGUAUUCUAAUUAUAAUUUUUCUCAGAUUUAUUCAAUAUUUUAUAAUUUAUAAUAUUUUUAUCAAUUUAUUAACAUCAUGUUGUUUUUAUCAAUUAAUAAAUGUAAUAUUCUUUUUUCUUAGGAAACAAAAGUUUAAUAGGUACUUUUGGACUCUGAACUUCAUAAGAAAUCAAAUAAGGACAAAAUGACAUCAUAUUGUGGACUGGUUGUAGGAGAAUGUUCUUGUCUAUACUUAUCAAUUAAUCAAACUAGAGGAAAAAAUAGCAUCAUAUUGUAGAAAUGAUUUAUGAGAAAUUCUCAUUAACAAGCCCUUAUAAUUCUUCUAUUUUGUAUAGAUUAGGUUAUUGCACUUUGCCUAACUUCUUGAAAUUAGGUUUUACAUGAAUUGCAUUCAGCUUUGAACGAUUUAUGUGUUUUGAUGUAUGAAUGGCCUUCAACUUUAGUGUUAUAUAUUUAUUUUUAGUUUAUCAAGAGGACUAGAAGAAAGAGGAGAGACGUUGAUGAAACAAAUUUAGUCAUUGUAAGAUUUCUAAAAGAGAGGUAGUACAAGGUAGUUGACAGAAAAGUAGCACACCGUCCUACCGAAAACUACAAUGCCAUUUCCAAAAAGAGAGGUGCAACCUCUAAACGCCCAAAAAUAGAAAUAUUCCCGAUACCCAAAAAUCGGCUACAAUUGUUUUAAGAAGACAAUCCCCACAUAAAAAAAAUGGAUCCCAAACAGCUAACUGCCACUACUUCUAUCCUAAAUCACUAGACCCGACCCAACACCAAAAUCAAAAUAAAGCAUCAUCCAAAGAACCAACUCCCAGCCCUUCUCCAACCAGUAUCAUCUACUGGCUUGGAGACUCAAUCAGAACGGUGAGAAACUUUUUACAAUCGUGCACUCGUCCAUAAGAUCCGAUCAUAACGCAUUCACCCUCAAAUGUUGACGAUCAUAAUGAUACAAAGGCGGAGGACGUAUUGGUUAGUGUUUGUAAAUCUUCAAAGUUGUACAUCGAUAUUAAUGUAGAGAGAUAUCUUGAAAUAUAUACAUCAGAUAGUAACGGGAUAUUGGAGGGGGCGUAUCUAAACUAGAAUCAAGUGCCUGAAGACGUUAAGAAUGUUUGGUGGGAACAUUUCUCAGAGAAAUUUGAGUGAGAUCCAGUUUCAACGGGGGUGUCAACAAGCUCCUUAAAAAGAAGGCGAGUAAGCCACUACAUGUAACAUUUAAAGACUCGACACAUAUGAAAAAUCAUUUUCAAGCCCCUAAAUAUACGGAAAAGUGCGGCAAAGCACAAGGAAAUAGAAAAACUUACACGUCAAAUGGUGGGGUGGUGUAUUGCGCUGGUUCCAUAACAGCGGUAGAGCAUUAGAGAAGAUUGAUAUGUAAUUUAGUUAAUUAUGUAGUAUUAAAUUCAUAUUGGUUACACUUAUUGUAUAUUUUAUAAUACACACAAGAACUGGGAAGACUCCCAACCAUUAUUGAA